ACAAGACUCUCCUCCAUCCCACUCCCGAGUUUUCCUAUUCUUUUUGGGUUGGUUGGUUCCACGGCAUUACAGUAGCCUCCUGGAGGAGAGGAGAGCAGCUUCACGAUCCUCCCAAACAUUUAUUCAGUGCCGUGCCGAGUCGCAGUUUAUUGAGGAUAUAUUCCCGGAUGCAGCCAAAAUAACUAGAAGGACGGAAUGAAGCUCUUCAAAUCCCUUCUACUCUUACUGCCAUUAUUACAAGAAUGCCGCUCCUUGUAUACGCCAGGACAGACUUGUUCCAGUCAAGAGCCUUUCCAUGCGACAUGGAAACAAGACGACGGACAGUGUUGCCUCUGUGUUGAAGGGACUGUCAACUGUGUACCUCAUGAUCCCAACGACUGUAACCCUGUAGAAGAGGUUUCCCCAGGUUGCCAAGUCAUGGAUAUUUGCGGAUGCAAAUGGUAAGAUGUUUUCUUGUCUAUUGAACUUAUCUGAUCUCUACAGGUGGACAGACACUUAAUCAGUACAGAAUACAGUGUCAAGUUCAGUGCAGUAAAUUUAUCUUUCGUUAUAUCUUCAUCUAACUUCUCUCAGAGCAUCUU